GUCAUGAAACAUUACGGGGAGAUAAAUGACUGUGGCCCACUGGCAUUUAGCUGGAUGCUCCUCUGUAUGCUGGAGACGUGCCUCCUCUCCUCAAGGCCUUUAGUGGCUGAUAUUCAGCUCGGCUCUUGAUGGGUGAGGGAGCAAUAGAGCUAAUACGGCCAUGGUAGCUUUUACGGCCACAUCUAUUACAGCCACUAACUAUCUCAUUUGUCCUCCUGACCAAACAACAAUGGCGGCUGGCUGAGGUUUUUGGAGGUUUCGGCUGUGGUCGAGGUGGACUGUGCAGUCGAUUGUGUAGAGGGUCGGCUAAGUAUCAGCAUAAACUGGAGUUGGAGGUGCACGCCAUCCUCAAGCAUAAAAAAAAAGGACUUUCCAGGCCUGAUGCUCAAACUCAGCCUCGGAUUGUGAGAAUGUGGAUGCCUUCCAGAGCCAGAUUCCCUGAGUGUCCCUGGAGAGAGAC
rnacentral:lncRNA from 15 species